GCAUGCACCACCUUGCUUGGCUCUGCAAAAGCUGUUGUGAGGGGUUACUGUAUGACACUGUAUGCCGAGGACAUGAAGAUGAGCUGGAAUGGCUCCAUCCUUAGGCUAGCCUGUGGUAUCAAGGGGGAAUAGCUUUAGUCUAAAACAAAGGAAAAGGGCCAGAAAAUGGAAGUAUCAGAAAAUGGAAGGGGAGAAAGACUGUGAAGGGUCUAUCUAAAUUCAAGGUCCUGGACAUUUCUUCAACUCACAACCCAAAAGAAUUAAAGGAAGAACUAUUGAUGAUCUGAGCCCCAAUGUUUUCAGACGAGCGUAAAAACAUGAUCCUGGUGAGGAACUACAAAGGUGGUCGUGGAAUGAAGAAAGGAUGAUAUUCAGGAUAAUGUUAAAUUUUAAGGUCCUCUGAUUGUAUUGUGAUAGAGAUAUAUCUUCAAGAUACAUGAUAAAAUAUCUAUGCGUAAGAUGAUCUGCUUAAAAAUACUACUCAUUGAUGUAGACCUCUACUAAUGGGUGGAGAAAUGUGAUACUGAGCUGAGAGCCAUGGGACUGACUAUCUUUAGACUGGGGUAUUGCUACAGCCUGCAAAAGCAAGAGGGACAGCCAGGACAGGAAGGGCAUUAGCUCUGGCAUUGGCAUCUUUACAGUCCACCCACCAGGCUGUGACCACUGGCCCACAAGAGAAACUGCUGAUACAGGCCUGGAAACACUCUGCAAGGCUUCUUGACAAGUACCGUGUCUAUCACAAGUGGGCUCAACCUGCCUCCUCAUCCACAGAACUCUGCACAGCACAGACAAUUGCAUGCAGCACUGCCUCAGGUGCACGUUGCACCUACAGAACAUUCUGGUGUGGUGAUGACGUCGAAAUGAGUAAGAUAUUCAUCCCAUCCUGUCAGAACAACGUGCUCUCAGAAAAAACAGUGUGCUUGGAGAUGACAGCCCUGGAGAACCCAUUCAGCCCUUGUCAAGGUACACAAGGAAGGCCAGUCAGCAGAGGCAGAACACGGCCUCUGGAGACUCCACCUCAGGCUUAGAGAUCCCAAGGAGCACCAUGGAUAGCAUCAGCUAUCACUGUUCAUGACCACCUCUUCUUUUCUGUGUGCAUCUCUUUGAAAGUGGAUCGGAGCAAACUGGUGAUACACCCUGCAUUGAAGCAGAUGGUCUGCACUGGAUUCUCCUGAUGUGAUACCACUCAAAGAACCCCACAUAGGAAAGCUCUGUGCUUUCUCAAAGCAGCACCGUGGCCAUUUCAAAGUAAUUUCAGAGGUGCUGCUGCUGUGGAAAUGCAGUGGAAGUAGGCUUUGCAAACACACACUCGCAAAUGCUCUACAAUUCUGCCACUGGCAGCUGUCCAGAGAGGAGC